AGCCCGGUCGUCUAGCGGUCAAAGUGGGUCAGAACGAUCAUGGAUAACGGGCUCUGGACCCGUCGACGGGAGUUCGAAUCUCCCCCGGGCUACCA
rnacentral:tRNA from 1 species